AGUGAACGCUGGCGGUAGGCCUAACACAUGCAAGUCGAACGGCAGCACAGUAAGAGCUUGCUCUUACGGGUGGCGAGUGGCGGACGGGUGAGGAAUACAUCGGAAUCUACUUUUUCGUGGGGGAUAACGUAGGGAAACUUACGCUAAUACCGCAUACGACCUACGGGUGAAAGCAGGGGAUCUUCGGACCUUGCGCGAUUGAAUGAGCCGAUGUCGGAUUAGCUAGUUGGCGGGGUAAAGGCCCACCAAGGCGACGAUCCGUAGCUGGUCUGAGAGGAUGAUCAGCCACACUGGAACUGAGACACGGUCCAGACUCCUACGGGAGGCAGCAGUGGGGUAUAUUGGACAAUGGGCGCAAGCCUGAUCCAGCCAUACCGCGUGGGUGAAGAAGGCCUUCGGGUUGUAAAGCCCUUUUGUUGGGAAAGAAAAGCAGCAGGUUAAUACCCCGCUGUUCUGACGGUACCCAAAGAAUAAGCACCGGUUAACUUCGUG
rnacentral:rRNA from 1 species